AACGAACGCUGGCGGCAUGCCUAACACAUGCAAGUCGAACGAUGCCUUCGGGCCUAGUGGCGCACGGGUGCGUAACGCGUGGGAACCUGCCCUUAGGUUCGGAAUAACUCACCGAAAGGUGUGCUAAUACCGGAUAAUGUCUUCGGACCAAAGAUUUAUCGCCGUAGGAUGGGCCCGCGUUGGAUUAGCUAGUUGGUGAGGUAAAAGCCCACCAAGGCGACGAUCCAUAGCUGGUCUGAGAGGAUGAUCAGCCACACUGGGACUGAGACACGGCCCAGACUCCUACGGGAGGCAGCAGUGGGGAAUAUUGGACCAUGGGCGAAAGCCUGAACCAGCAAUGCCGCGGUAGUGAUGAAGGCCUUAGGGUUGUAAAGCCCUUUUACCCGGGAAGAUAAUGACGGUACCGGGAGAAUAAGCCCCGGCUAACUCCGUG
rnacentral:rRNA from 1 species